rnacentral:rRNA from 1 species
GACGAACGCUGGCGGCGUGCUUAAUACAUGCAAGUCGAGCGAACAGACGAGGAGCUUGCUCCUCUGACGUUAGCGGCGGACGGGGGAGUAACACGUGGAUAACCUACCUAUAAGACUGGGAUAACUUCGGGAAACCGGAGCUAAUACCGGAUAAUAUAUUGAACCGCAUGGUUCAAUAGUGAAAGACGGUUUUGCUGUCACUUAUAGAUGGAUCCGCGCCGCAUUAGCUAGUUGGUAAGGUCACGGCUUAGCAAGGCGACGAUGCGUAGCCGACCGGAGAGGGUGAUCGGCCACACUGGAACUGAGACGCGGUCCAGGCUCCUACGGGAGGCAGCAGUAGGGAAUCUUCCGCAAUGGUCGAAAGCCUGACGGAGCAACGCCGCGUGAGUGAUGAAGGUCUUCGGAUCGUGAAACUCUGUUAUUAGGGAAGAACAAAUGUGUAAGUAACUAUGCACGUCUUGACGGUACCUAAUCAGAAAGCCACGGCUAACUACGUG